CUCAUAGCUCAGCUGGUUAGAGCAGUGGACUCAUAAUCCAUGUGUCCGGGGUUCAAGUCCCUGUGGGC
rnacentral:tRNA from 1 species